rnacentral:rRNA from 1 species
ACCUCGUGAGGAUGAAGCCCCUCGGGGUGUAAUCUCCUGUCAAAGGGAAGAAGGCGCGGGCGUUAAUAGCGUCCGUUGCUUGACGGGUACCUUCAGAGGAAGCUGCGGCUAAUUACGUGGCAGCAGCCGCGGGUAAUACGUAGGGAGCGAGCGUUGUUCGGAUUUACUGGGCGUAAAGGGCACGUAGGCGGGUAUGCAAGUCGGUUGUGAAAUCCUCUGGCUCAACCAGAGAACUGCAGCCGAAACUGUACACCUUGAGUCCAGCAGAGGGAAUCGGAAUCCCAGGUGUAGCGGUGAAAUGCGUAGAUAUCUGGGAGAACAUCAGUGGGAAGGCGGAUUCCUGGGUUGGUACUUACGCUGAAGUGCGAAAGCUAAGGGAGCGAACAGGAUUAGAUACCCUGGUAGUC